ensembl:lncRNA
CUUUCCCUCAUCUCCAGCUCACUGUACAAAUGUUCAACGUUGUGACAAAAAACCGCAGUGGAGAAAGCACCAAGAAAACCCCGACCCCGCGCCCGAAAACACGUACUGUGACAGAACCUACAGCUCGGCGGUUGAGACGAUUGAUCGAGGAAACUGAUCGGGAGGAUUCACUGACAAGCUGCUUCCCACAUUAGGUGAGAAAACUUAAGACAUAAAAUCAUGAACAGCUAGACUGUUUAUACUGCACAAAUUAGACACAGCACUACAAUACCAAGCUGCAGAAAUACUUUAAAGCGUUCCUGACAAGGAAUCAUUUAGUCUGACCAAAAAGACCCAAUUCAUUUAAUAUUCAGCACUGAAUAACGAACAUUCUGAUAAAAAAAAAAAAAAGCCUUGAUAUUCAUCUACGUUAAUGAUCCAGGAGGGUUUUUCCCCCCCUCUGGCUGUCACUGGUUGGCUCUCCCCAAGGAGACGCCUCAUUGUGUAUGUUGUCAUGGCCAGUGUUAUGAGGUUAAAGGGUCUCCACGCUUCGGGAACGGACUGGUUUUGACUGUAACAGAAGUCGGGUCUAUGUUGGCGUCUGUGUGUUAAUUGGCCAAGGUUUGAUGAGCGACAGGUGCUAGUUAGAGGUACAUUUUUGAGAUAAUGAGUGACAUUUUGGGACAAACUUGCAUUAGAUUAGCGGUACGGUCGCGGCUUGCCCUGAUCAGUGUAUAGACGGUUAUUAUAAUCCACAUUUUCAAGUACUAUAAGUAACAUUCAAGAUGAUGAACAUGGUUACAGUUUCAUGCUAUGAUUUUACUGCUGUAGAUAAUCUAGGAUAAAAGUCUCAUAGUAAUGUUUCAUUUUAGCUGUGUUGGGAAGGUUGAUUUUUGCUUGGUUAUGACUAAUCUGAC